rnacentral:rRNA from 1 species
AGAGUUUGAUCCUGGCUCAGGACGAACGCUGGCGGCGUGCCUAAUACAUGCAAGUCGAGCGGACAGAUGGGAGCUUGCUCCCUGAUGUUAGCGGCGGACGGGUGAGUAACACGUGGGUAACCUGCCUGUAAGACUGGGAUAACUCCGGGAAACCGGGGCUAAUACCGGAUGGUUGUUUGAACCGCAUGGUUCAAACAUAAAAGGUGGCUUCGGCUACCACUUACAGAUGGACCCGCGGCGCAUUAGCUAGUUGGUGAGGUAAUGGCUCACCAAGGCAACGAUGCGUAGCCGACCUGAGAGGGUGAUCGGCCACACUGGGACUGAGACACGGCCCAGACUCCUACGGGAGGCAGCAGUAGGGAAUUUUCCGCAAUGGACGAAAGUCUGACGGAGCAACGCCGCGUGAGUGAUGAAGGUUUUCGGAUCGUAAAGCUCUGUUGUUAGGGAAGAACAAGUACCGUUCGAAUAGGGCGGUACCUUGACGGUACCUAACCAGAAAGCCACGGCUAACUACGUGCCAGCAGCCGCGGUAAUACGUAGGUGGCAAGCGUUGUCCGGAAUUAUUGGGCGUAAAGGGCUCGCAGGCGGUUUCUUAAGUCUGAUGUGAAAGCCCCCGGCUCAACCGGGGAGGGUCAUUGGAAACUGGGGAACUUGAGUGCAGAAGAGGAGAGUGGAAUUCCACGUGUAGCGGUGAAAUGCGUAGAGAUGUGGAGGAACACCAGUGGCGAAGGCGACUCUCUGGUCUGUAACUGACGCUGAGGAGCGAAAGCGUGGGGAGCGAACAGGAUUAGAUACCCUGGUAGUCCACGCCGUAAACGAUGAGUGCUAAGUGUUAGGGGGUUUCCGCCCCUUAGUGCUGCAGCUAACGCAUUAAGCACUCCGCCUGGGGAGUACGGUCGCAAGACUGAAACUCAAAGGAAUUGACGGGGGCCCGCACAAGCGGUGGAGCAUGUGGUUUAAUUCGAAGCAACGCGAAGAACCUUACCAGGUCUUGACAUCCUCUGACAAUCCUAGAGAUAGGACGUCCCCUUCGGGGGCAGAGUGACAGGUGGUGCAUGGUUGUCGUCAGCUCGUGUCGUGAGAUGUUGGGUUAAGUCCCGCAACGAGCGCAACCCUUGAUCUUAGUUGCCAGCAUUCAGUUGGGCACUCUAAGGUGACUGCCGGUGACAAACCGGAGGAAGGUGGGGAUGACGUCAAAUCAUCAUGCCCCUUAUGACCUGGGCUACACACGUGCUACAAUGGACAGAACAAAGGGCAGCGAAACCGCGAGGUUAAGCCAAUCCCACAAAUCUGUUCUCAGUUCGGAUCGCAGUCUGCAACUCGACUGCGUGAAGCUGGAAUCGCUAGUAAUCGCGGAUCAGCAUGCCGCGGUGAAUACGUUCCCGAGCCUUGUACACACCGCCCGUCACACCACGAGAGUUUGUAACACCCGAAGUCGGUGAGGUAACCUUUUAGGAGCCAGCCGCCGAAGGUGGGACAGAUGAUUGGGGUGAAGUCGUAACAAGGUAACC